UGCUACUGGUUUCACAUGCCUCGCGUUGAAUGUAAGGCUUCCUCCUUUACAAAAAUGAGAACUAGAAAAACCUGUAUUCGACCCGCACACUCUCCCAACCCAAGAAACCCCUGGAUAUUUGAAAUUUUCACACUGGUAAACAAUGACCGUGCUCAGUUUAUUGCGGGCAACAGUGAACAAAUGAAUCUUCCUGGGGAGAUUGCGGGUGCGAGGAGAGGAAAACAGCGCAGAGCAAGGUGAGCUCAACCUGAGCAAACAGCGGAAGCUGCUGGGUUGUGCCUGCUACAAUCGAGCAACGCUUCCUGUUACCCUUUUUUGGAAUGGAGAUAUCUUCCCAUCAAUUUCAUCUCCUUCAGCAACUAAAUGAGCAGCGCAAGCAAGACUUAUUCUGUGACUGCAGUAUCCUGGUUGAGGGGAAAGUCUUCAAAGCACAUCGAAAUGUGCUGUUUGCCAGUAGUGGUUAUUUCAAAAUGCUCCUUUCCCAAAGCUCAAAAGAGACUAGUCAGCCAACCACAGCUACUUUUGAGGUCUUCUCUCCUGAUACCUUCACAGUUAUUCUGGACUUUGUAUAUUCAGGAAAACUGUCUCUCACUGGUCAAAAUGUGAUCGAAGUAAUGUCAGCUGCUAGUUAUCUGCAGAUGACAGAUAUUCUUAGUGUAUGUAAGACAUUCAUUAAAUCCUCACUGGAGAUUAAUGAAAAAGAGAAGGAUCACUACUUCACCCUUUCAGCCAAAAGGAUCAACAGUAGAUUUGACCGUCCACCUUUUUAUAGGUCAAGAAGGAAAGUUAAAAGCAACCCCAUCCGUUCUCACGUAAUUCCAGAUCAAAAGGCAGGCAUGGUGAAUGAAAAUUCCUGGACCAAUAACAGGAACCACUCCUCUUCACAAAUGAAUGUCCAACAGCAAGAAACACAAUUAUUCAAAAGAGGCCAAAAGCUUGGCUCAGUGAAAAAGCGCCAAAGGCGUCUAGGACUGUCACAGUCCCUUGACUUUCUGAAAUAUAAAUCAAACAAACCUGAUGAGGCCAGGGGAAGUUGCAGUGCUUCAGAGACUAACCACGUUUCCCAAUCCAAAGAGCAAAUUCAGUUUGACACAGAGAAUAACACUGCUCAUACUGGGUACCGAUGUGAUCAAGAAUCAAAGGUGAUACCAAAGAAAUGGUCUGUUGCUCAGCUGGAACAAGAACUUUCAAGAACUUCCCCUGUGUAUCUGGAUUUAAAAGCAGAUGAACUGUAUACCUCUAUGCCCACUAUUCUAGGUGUAAUGGGUGGUUGGAAUGAAGAUGAUCUACCUAAGAUGAGAUUCAAGUGCCCCUUCUGCACCCAUACAGUGAAACGGAGAGCAGACAUGAAGCGGCAUCUUCGAUGUCACACAGGGGAACGACCUUAUCCGUGUGAGGCAUGUGGGAAAAAAUUCACAAGAUUAGAGCACCUACGUAGCCAUUUCCAAACAGUAUGUCAUUUGCCUAAAGACUGGUUUUCUCAAAAAAAUGAAAUUUAUGUUGGCAACAGCAGUUUAUUAUCCAGAACCAGCCCCAGAGAUAGAUACACCAAGCUGGUAAACUAAUCUGCAGAAAAUGUAAGAAUCAUGUCACCGACCUAACAGGACACGUGGUUCAACAAGGAACAAGGCGCUACAGACUAUGUAACGAAUGUCUAGUUGAAGCAGGGAUCAACAAUGGAGAUAUACUUCCAGAAGAGACUUGAAAAUAUCUGAAGUUGAGGUGAAAGACACACAAGGCUGUUCUGAACCCAAGGAGCUGCAAAUGCGGUUCUUACUUACAUUAGCAAAUUUCUUAGCCAUUGUUCAGCAAGGGUGCAGCUGCUCCUGUGCUACCAAUGCAUAGUGCAAUAUAGACCACAUGCAUGCAUAUUUAAAAAAAAAACCUGUAUCAUCAAAUACCAAAGUGGCUAGAUUUUAUGGAGGGGCAGAGGAGACCAGUGCUAAGAUAAGUGAAUAAAGGAGGGGAGGGAGAAGAGAGACAAAGCAUGUGAGGUUGUUCAGAGUAAAUGAGUAGAAGGCUUUGAAAUCAGGAUCCAAAUUAGUCAAUGGGGUAAUUUCAUUGCAGUAAGUAGAUGGAGUUACUUCAUGGAUGAGUAGGGCCUCAGAGGACAUUUUUUCCCUUAUGCACUGAACCAGAUGAUGAUCUAGUAGUAUCUAUGAUGAGUAUGGGAUUACACUUGUUUUAAUGUAUGAGAAAGUAGACAGAAGCAUUCUGCACAAGCUGAAAUCUAUUAAUCAAACCUAUAGUAUCUGUAAAUGCAUGAACCAUGCUCUUUUCAAAGAUGCAGCCUUCCCAAGAGGUAAUGUAUUUAUUUAAAAAUAAAUAUGGAAUACAAUUAAAAGUAUGCCCCAAAAUAAAAAAAAGUGAGAUACCUAUUUGUUUGUAAACAGAUUAUGCUUUCUCUAGUCUAUUUUUCUAAACAGAGCAUUCCCUUUGCAUCUAAACUAUUUUUUUAAAGUUUACUCAUUUUUAACUACCAGAUUGUAGAUGUAAAUAUGUAUUUAACAAAAUGAAAUGUGUAGUCAUGUCAUUAGUAAAAUCAACUACUUUUAUUUUAAAAUAGUGACUUCAUAAAACUUGCAAUUCUUUACAGAUAAUACACUGACAAAAGAUUUUAAAAAAAUUGCUAUAUAUUUUACUGUAUACAUUUGAAUUCCUUUCAAAUGUAUUAAUAAAUUUGGCAUUAUGAGUGAAAUAUAAAUGGGAAAAAGAUGGUCCUAUAAUAUUAAAGAGAUAAAACAAAUGUAAAAUUUCAUCCACAAGCACAAGCCCUUCAUCUGCAGGGGAGCCACAUAUGCACCUAUGAGGUCAGCACUUUCCACCCCUCCCAAAAAAUAAAAAAAUUUUGUAAUGUGUUUUCAGAGUAUAGAUUUUUUUCAAAGCCAGGACAGGUUGGGUGUGACCAAAAAUCUGACAGAUCUUUGGAGUUUGAGGAAGGAGGCCCAGACCAGUUGUUGGCAAAAAUGCAUCCCCGUCACAGGAAAAUCAUCAGAAUUGACAACCAUGUUGAUAGUUUCAGCAAUCUAAAGACUGAAUGGGAACAGAAGCUGAACUACCU